CCCCACCCGCGGCUCCGCGCGCCUCGCCCUGACACCACCCUCCGCGGCCCUCUCCCGACCCUCGGCCCCCCAGGACUCCCCUCUGGUCCUCCCCUAGGAAAGGGGCCUCUCGCCAAGUCUCCGCCUUCCCGUCCUCCCCUUGUCAAUGUCGCUGUCCAGCGUCCGCCGCCUUAGGAACGCCACCCCACCUGGGCCUCCUUCUCCAGGGACCCCCUGGGCCCCACCCCCAGGACCUCCCACCUCUGGAAGCCCAGCGUUUGCUUUUCCCAAUCCACUCGGCGGCUCGUCUCCACGCCCACCUGACUGGACCCGGAAGCCCGAAGAAGUUAGCCGGGGAUUUCGGCGAUAGGGCAGGCGGAGCAGAAUUUGAAACAGCAUCCUACCGGUCCUGCGCCUAGUGAAUGAUGACUCGCCAGAAAGCAAAGACGCAACCCUGCCUCCGUGUGAGCUUGGCGUGUGGCCCAGGAGGCUCCGUGAGCCUGCGUGCGUAAGGAUCGUGACGCCCACGCUUGAGAGCAGAGCUCAGUGCAAACUUCCAAUGGUUCUUCCAGUUUCCAGGGAAACGAGAUUUGGAGCUGCUGCAUGUUGCAGAGCUACCCCUCUCCUCCCCAGAGGGAGCCCUGCCAAUGGCUGGGUUUGGGGAGGAAGGGAUUGAGGACACCUACUCCAUGAAGGGAAAAAAAAUCAUGUUUGAAGUAUAUACUAGGCAGCAUGCCUCUAACAAAGACCUGCAUUGUAGUGGUUCUGGACAUACUAUUGUGGGAUUUGGAACUCAGCUUCUUGCUUGCCUGAAACAGGUAGGGAGUCUGAAUCAGAAGAGUCAAGCCAAGAAACAUCAAUCAUCCUGAAGGAGUCUUCAGAGGUUGAAGUUUCGGUGAAGCUGGCCAUGCCCAGGUAAAAAUAAAUUCUAUAAAACCACAAUUAAAUAAAUUAUAUUAAAAUAUGGGUAACAAAUACUUAAAGCAGCCACUUUCUAUUUUACCACACUUUUCUGUUCAGUUUUUUAAUUACUUAUUUAUGUAUUUUAUGUAUGAGUGCUCUAUCUGCAUGUCUGCUUAUAUGCCAGAAGUGGGCAUCAGGUCCCAUUGCAGAUGGUUGUGAGCUGUCCUGUGGUUGCUGGGAAUUGAACUCAGGAUCUCUGGAAGAGCACCCAGUGUUCUUAACUGUGGAGCCGUCUCUCCAGCCCUUUACCACACUUUUCUAUUACCUGUUUUCAGAAAUUGUGUCUAGCUAAGCAAAAAUGUGUAUUCUGCUCUGUGUUUCCCAACCCCUUGCUCAGUAGCUCUGGGUGAUAGCGUAUGGUUUACCACAGCAGGAGAAUUUAUACCACAGAAAUUAGCAGAUGAUGCGAGUCUGAUGGGGCUGACUGUUUUACUUAUAAAGUGAAGGGAAAUAUGAACGGUGCAGACUGGACUUAAAAUGGAUUGUGGCGAUAGCCAUCGUUUUAAGUCUAGAACAUGUUUCUUUUGGUGCUUGGGAGCCGUCACCUUGCAGUUAUAGCAUGCACAUUGUAUAUCUCUAAUGAAAGGCAUCCCAACAUGAUUCCCUCUUGUCCUCCAUGGAACUCAUCUACGUAUGUGAAAACAGCACCCAGCAUUCAAACCAGAGCAGCACCCUCUUGUCAGCGAUAGGAGCAAGCGUCCUGCUGAGUCAGAUGUAAUCAGGGUUUAUUCAUGUCCUAAUUUUGCGAUACUGUUGUCAGUGAUACAGUUACAAAAACAGUGGAUUUUGCAAGAAAUAGCAAGUCACAUUGAAGUCAUAAAAUAAAAAGCAAAUAAGUACUUUCAUUUAAAAUAUUAUUUCCAAACUUAUAUAAGAAAAUGCUUUUUUCCUAGUUUUUCCAUUUUUAAAAUUGCAUUUAUUUGUUCACUGUGUGUGUGCAUUUGCAUGUGGGAAUGUGACUGUAGUGGAAAACAUGUGGAGGUCAGAGGACAACUUGCAACAUCUGAUUUUCUUCUUCCACCUUGUGAGUUCUACAGAUCAAACUCAGGUCAUCAGGGUGGUAGCAAGUGCCUUUACCUGCUAAGCCAUUUCACUGGCCCAUUAAAUUGCUAAUAGAAUUUUUAUGUUAGCUCAAGUAAUGGCAUGAAUUUUAGUAAGAUUAUAAAACUGUUUCUCAUAUUUUGAUCUACCAAAUGCUAAUAAAACAGUAAUUUCUCACAUUCUUUCCCAUAAGAGACAGGUGAAAACAGAUACAGGAAAGAAUCUUGUGACCUUCAGUCCUGCACUGCUCAUUUUCUAAAGAUUUAGCAGACCACCAGGAUGCUCUGAGUGUCCAGGAAUAGUUACCAGGAAAGAUAUGGCUCCUGCUUCUUGAGACAGCUUUGUAGGAGAGGAAAAACACCAUCAUAUAGCUAAGGAAAUGCCUUACUAUAGCCUCCUGUUUUCAUCUGCCCUAUCAAGACCUUAUUCCAGCACGUUGAGAUUUUCAUGUCUCUUCUUUAAAGAAAGACAAGACCCACCCCAAACCUUGUACUCAGUUGAGAAAAACUCAUUCUUGCUUUGCCAAAACUGCAGAGCUGUCCUCACUGUCCACACCCAGGCCCUAAACAAUAGCCAAGUUCUGGGAAGACCUCUGCCCAGCAGCAGCUCCCUAGCCACCGGCACCUACAUUUCCCUCGAUAGUGCCUGUAGUCAUCUUUAUAGUCCUCAAGGGGCCAGCCAGCCUUUGAAAUGAGAGUCACUUAUAGUAGCUACUACUCAAAAUGUUUUUUGCUCUCCUUCAAAGUGAGCAAAAGCAAUUCUGUGUGGUUACACAUUAAUCUCCCUUAGUCCCUGGCUCACUCUGUCUCACUAUGUUCAGGGUACCUGUAGGGAAGCCUCCUCAUUCAGACUGUCCUAAGCUCCUUGUCUUUUCUAAGAUCCGUUUCCUCAUAAAAAUUUAACUAAAAAAGUGAGACAGGGUCUAUUAAUGGCCUGGAAUUCACCAAGUAGACUUGGUUAUUUGACUGUUGAGUUCAGGGAUCUGAAGACAGGGACCUGUUUGUUUACUCAUUGUUCUCAGUGUCAAUAACAGCAUCUGGCAUAUAGUACAUGGUCUGUGAAUAUUUGUAUAACUGAUUUUUAAAAUUUACACAAUUAAAAUUUGAAGAAUGUAAACUAUGA